GCUUUCAUUCAUCUCAGGCUCUAACCCAGCACCCAAUGCCUAUCAUUGCCUUUGCAUCACAGAUCUUCAUUUUACUUUGUUUUACUCCAUAAUGUCCCUUACUAAGGAGGCUUCUUAUCUCCUCUAAAUCUACCAACAAUCCUUUAUCUUAUACAGUGAUCUGUCUAAGUGUACCUGGUACCUUCUGCUAACACAAUAUUCUUGCUCAUCUUGUAGGUGAGGUUCAAAAACAUCACCAUCCAUUUUCUAAGAACUCAAACAAGGCAAGCGUUUACGUGGGUACAAUGGGGUAAAUAAGUGAAUAAAAUAUAAUUGGUAAGAGGUGGACAGGAAGAAUUGCCUUAGUUAUAGAGGUAUUGAGUUUAUCAUUCAUAAUCUGCAGAAGGUUUAGCCAAUAAACAGGCUCUAUUACUUAAUGACUGGGUAGUUCUUGAAAUAGGAGCAAACAUGUUAGAAGCCCAAUCCCCACCAGCAGCUGUGAUCUCAAAUCGUCAGCACAGACAUAAACCUGGUACCCAUCCUGUUUCCUAAGGAUGCUGAGUGUCCUUGUGCCUUAAAAAAGAGGAUUUCUUAUUACUUCUACUGUAACACAGUGGUUGUAACUUCUGGAUGUCUUUUUCCAUACUUGAUUAUUCCAGGGGUUCCCUGACAGCCUGGUGAACCCUGGGGAUCCUGGGUCUGAUGGUCCCAAUUAAUCCAGGUCAGCAGAUCUGCCUUUCAGUCUAGCUGGGUCCAAAAAAACCCUAACAUAUCCCUGAUUAUAUUAAGAGAGUCCAUAAAUACGACAACCCCAUACAUCCUGAUUUCUGGUACUGUGACUCAUUACAUGGACCCAACUGAAAUAUCAGCCCUCUAUGCAUCCUAGUCAGCAACUGGAAGGAAUGGAGCUCUCUACCCACUCCCUAUCUCUCUUACACACUAGACUCCUUGCUCCUAUAGUAUCUCUCUGGCUAUCAUUUGAAAAUAGUUCAACUCUGUUAUUACCUUAUUCUACUAAAACAUCAUCCAUAAUAUUACAGUCCAGUGCUUCUCAACAGUGCUUCAUUUGGAAGUUAAUAUGAGUAACUAUUAGUUUUAGCAUGGAAUUAUUAAUAGACCAUCAGAAGGUCUUUGUUCCCAAAAAGUAUUACUCAUUGUUUCCCAUCAUAUCCUUUAUCUAAGCACUGUGUCGAUAUCUCUGUGCAGUAAUAAUUUCAUUUUUGAACUUUCAAAUAAGGCUUUAAAUGACUUAAGCAUCUGCUUAGUUGAGGAGGCAUAACCUUUCCUGAGUGUUGCUGCCAGCGCAUACUAACUGGGCUCUCUCAGCAUUUCCUGACUUCUCAUGGCAUAGUUUAAUAAAUUAAAGCUAAUGGAAGCAAUUUACAACUUAAGUAGUAGACAGAAAAUAUAAUAAAUUAGUUUAAAUCAUUUUCUAUAGCUGAAUAUUCUCUCAGAUAAUAAUAAUCCUGGCAUCUCGGCAUCAGUAGUUUGUAUAGAAUGAAAAUAAAUCGAAGGGCUUAGUAACAGAAAGAAAUGUUGUAAUAGAAACAGGAUUUUCAAGCCUUUGUAAUUUUUGAGAAUUUAUCAAUAAGGCAGAGUAGUAGGAGAUGGUGAGAGGAAACACCCCCGCUCUAUCCAGGACACAAUGAGCCCUGGGGUCGGGGACGUGCUGACUGAGAGAGUGGUUGGGGUUUGAUCAUACGCUUUGCACCGAGGCAUCUGAAAAGACUCGGUUAGGAUGACGAAGCCUGGGGGUUGGAUGCAGAAACGGGCAAUUCAAGUGCAUAGCAUGAUAGAAAGACAUAAACAAUGGCAAGGUGCAGAAUCUGAAGUUCAGGAAACCUGGGUUCAAAUCCUAACUCUGCAUUUUAUGAGGUAACUCGUGUAACCUCAGGCAAAUCACUCGCCCUUCUUCAGACUCACUGUCUUCUCUCUCAUGGUCAUUAAUAAGAAUUAUAAAAAAGAACCACAGUUACCUGCUAGCUCUUUGGAAGUCUCAGGAAAUGUGAUGCACUACAGUCUGAUUUAGUCCUAGAAGAGAAGACCAGUAAUCAACAUAUUUGCUCGUAAAUAACAGGACUGAGGCUUCUGGACCCAAGGGGAAAUGGAAGGGAGGAGACUGAGAAAAGGAGAGGGUCCAUUGAAACUCAGACUGGUGUUAAGAAUGGAACGAAAACAAAUGGCUCUGGGCCACCUUGGGGCCUUCAUAGUUGGGGCAGAAUCCAACUGGGAUGAACUUAAUCACCCCGCCAAGGCAGGGGUGCAUGAGAGCUGGGGUCCUAGCUUUGAGGCUUGGCAGUGAUGAGCCUCUGAGCUUUGCAGUAAGGAUCAUUGUAGAUACAGUCCCCAUAGCAGCCAAGGAUUUGGUGCUGCUGCUGUGUCCCUGCUGCACUUAACAAAGGCAGCAAUUGAAUUCUAAGAGAUUUUUCUAUUAUUCUCUCGAGGUUGUUUCAGAACAUCCUGCCUGGAGAUUAGAUAGGUACUCAAACUAAAGGCUGUUUGUCAGCAGGAAGAGGAGAUGAUCAUUCUUGACUUCCUUCUAGAUUUAUGAAUAAACCCAUCCACUGUUUCUCCACCAAGUUCUGAGAGAAUGGUCUUCAUUACUUGGGGAUCAAUUGUUAGGAUGUACUGGCAGGGGUUUCUUGUCUCUGCAGGAACACGGAAGUGCCAUCUCCAGAAUCGCUGAGCUGGAGCCACAGAAUCUGUCUCACUAUGGCAACAUCCCUAAAUGGAAGCUGAUAAGCCGAGAAGCCAAGACUGGGUCUAGAACUUGAUUUUUUUUCACUUUGAGGUUUAUAGAACCAGGUGUGAGUGCCGUCCCUGAGCUCAGCUGCUCUAUGAUUCUACUUCCCUGUUCCUUAGUCUCCUUCUAUUGGCAGGGGUCAAGAAUGCUAUUUUCCUUCAUUAUCCUGCAACUUCAGGUUUAGCUAUGAGAGGGUGGUGGAAGACAGCCAGUGUGUUUCCAUAUAUCCACAGGAACUUGAACAUGAUUAUAAAAGUCACUCUUUCUGCUUCUUUUCUAUGUAUUUUAGGUAGGCGAUAGCAUUAAUUUGGCAAGUCUUUAAACAUAUAUGCUGGUCCUUAUGUUCAAUUCUCUACCUCAAGAACAAUCACGAGGUACAAUUUUUAAAUCUUUUUUUUUUGGGGGGGGGAGCACAUCCAUAGCAUAUGAAAUUUCGCAGGCCAGAGAUCAAAUCUGAGCCACGGCUGCAACCUGUGUAUGCCACAGUUGCAGCAAUACCAGAUCCUUGACCUGCUGUGCCACAGCAGGAACUCCUGAUUUUUAAAUCUUAAAUGUUUAUUAAAAAUCUCAUAAAAGUCUGCAAGCAACUUGGAAGAAAACUGUAAGACUUUUUGAAAGUCACUGUUUGUGUUUGGGUGCUCCAAGAGGCAGGCACUAAGAUGUAAUUAGCAAUUGCUUAGGGGGAAUAUCUGAAGGGGAAAGAGAGUCGGAGAGCCUUAAACUGGGAUGCAAGUUUGAUACUGUGGAAGAAAUGAGGGAAGGAAGAAUGACUGGGUAAGAUAGGUAAAGUUCCAGAGCAGUUCUAAGAAAGUUUCUGCCAAGUCAAUGGGGAGAACCUAAGUCAAAGCUACCUGUCAGAAAAGACAUGAAUUAAUCAGGACUGUGUGUUCAAUCAUCAGCUGGGAGCAACCGUGAGUAAGUGUAAUGUCAUCUGCCUGACCUUAGUGAUGCAUCCAGGCAGACAGCAACCAGGGCCUUCAUACAUCAACUUUGUUCUCAACAGUAAGAGAUCAGAGAAGUGCAUUUCCGCGGUCACUAGGUCACUACGCUAUUAAGAAAGCUAUAAACAAGGAGCAAGAGAUUAUCUCUUCAUGAACAGAAAGUUUGGAUUUCAUUAAAAAAAAAAAAUCCCAGCUAUUCCCCAACUGACCUAGACUCAACACAAUUCUGAUUAAGUUGGCAACAGGAUUUUAGAAUUUGUUUGUUUCUUUUUGUUCAUUUGUUUUUUCAGUAGAACUUGACAUGUGAAUCUAAAAUUACGUACAAGAGAAAAAACAAAGCAAAACAAAACAAAAAGAUACCCUUGAAGGGAAAGAACUGAAUGGGUAAAAUGGGUAAAAUACCAUCAUACUAUACUAAAAAAAAGAUGGUAUUGGAUCUGGAAUAAACAAAUUGAACAAUAGAAAAGAAUUUAGAGCCUGGAGUAAACCAAUGUGUAUAUGGAAGUUUGAUAUAUGAUAGGAAGUUGGAAAAGAUUUUCUCUAUUAUACUGUGAAAACUGGUCAUCCAUGUAUAGAAAAGAAAAAAAAAAUGAGAUUCAUUCCUGACUUACACCAAGUACAAAAAUUAAUUUUUCGUCAACUAAGAAUCUAAAUGUUUAAAAGCAACCUGUAAAACAAUGGUGAAAAAUGACACAGGAAGAUAUCUUUAUGACUUCCUAGUAAGGAAAUAUAUCUUGAGUGGGACAAAAAAUAUAAGUUAUAAUGAAAAGACUGAUGAAUCUUACUACAUUAAAAAUGUCUAUAGGUAUCUAGAUAUAUAAAACAGAAAGAAAAGACAAGCCAAAAAAUUAAAGUAUUUGCAGUGCAUAUAAUCAGAAAAAAAAGUUUUCAUAAAACUCUAGAGCAUCUAAAUUCAAUAUAGAAAAAUACAGACUCAAUAUAAAAGUGGACAAGAGAUAUGAACAGCAACUGACAAAGCAAACCCAGUAGUAACUAAGAAGAACAAACUAAGCCAUGUUAAGAUAUCAUUAACUUUUAAAAAAUUUUUAAAGUCUUAACAGUUGCAAUGACUGGUGAGAAUUUGAAUAAAGAGUUCUCAUAAGGAUCCAUGGAAAUUUAAGUUUUAACAAUCUAUUUGUAGAGCAAAUUUUCAUUGUCUUAGUAAAUUUUAAAAUGCACAUUCCUUAUAAUUAUUGAUUAUACUUGAUUUUUUUAACAUUAUAAAAGGGUAUAAUAGCAUUGUUCAUAGUAGCAUUGAAAACAAUUGAUGGAGAAAGUAAAUUUUUUAAAAAUUGUGGUGAGAAUUUAAAUACAAUUCCAUGGUGCUGGGUUAAGCGAUCAUUUCCUGCCUCAGAGUUAAAUAAAACUGAGCUAUAUUAACAAUGGUCCCGGAGUUCCCGUCGUGGUGCAGUGGUUAACGAAUCCGACUAGGAACCAUGAGGUUGCGGGUUCGAUCCCUGGCCUUGCUCAGUGGGUUAACGAUGUGGCGUUGCCUUGAGCUGUGGUGUAGGUCGCAGACAUGGCUCGGAUCCCGCGUUGCUGUGGCUCUGGUGUAGGCCAGUGGCUACAGCUCUGAUUAGACCCUAGCCUGGGAACCUCCAUAUGCCGCAGAAGCGGCCCUAAAAAAGACAAAAA
rnacentral:lncRNA from 1 species